rnacentral:rRNA from 1 species
GGAUGCGAUCAUACCAGCACUAAAGCACCGGAUCCCAUCAGAACUCCGAAGUUAAGCGUGGUUGGGCGAGAGUAGUACUAGGAUGGGUGACCUCCUGGGAAGUCCUCGUGUUGCAUUCC